GCAGUACUGUUGACAACUGGUGUAGCAAGACCGAGGAGUUCCCGUGAUAAUCACAUAAUCACUCGUGACCGCGGUUAUAGCUAUGUGUGAUAAACACGCCAACAUCAAAUCAAAUCAAUUGUAUUUAUAUAGCCCCAAAUCCCAAUCACAUUGCCUCAGUGGGCUUUACAAUCUGUACGUGAACAACAUCCUCUGUCCUUAGACCCUCGAUUAGAGUGAGGAAAAACUUCACAUGUUGAUAGAAAAAAAAAACCUGAAGAACAUGAAGUGUUCCCCACCAAAGGAUUAGUAGAAGAGCUUGUAUUUAUCUCUUUUUUAAGAUUUGUGUACAUCAACACUGAGUGUUUUAUUUUUGAAAGUAACCAGUUGUCAUAUUAUUGUUUCAGCUGAAUGCUCCAUCAUGCUCCAGUAUCCACCAGAAAUAGAAGUCCUGCGCAUCUGUUCCGGAGGGCUCCAGACUGCCGGAGCUGUGAUGGAGCAGAUGUGCAGCGGACUUGGUGGAAGAUGACACAUGAACUAGAGUGAAACUUAUCAGCUUUGCUGGCAUGGCAGAUCCGUAACGCAGUGGAAACGUACCUGGUGGAAUCGCGGAGUCAAACUGACAAUAGCUUCAAACUGUUUAAAUGGGGAUUCAAUCUUGACUUGUUGAGCAGUGCUGGGUCGUGGAUUUAGGUGUAUGGAAAGGGUUAACAGAAGGCAUUUGAAACAUGAGAAGACAAACGGCCAGCAUACCAGAAGAUCCCCUGUACUUGCUCUCUCACCACUUCACACUGUUGUUCAGUGCCAGUCGACCAGCGUUAAGGACAAUCCUCACAGCACCAGCUUGACCACCAUGGAGAGUAAACAGCCAGGUGGAGCUUCAGGCCCUCAGGUGAGUUCUCCUCAUCAGCUGAUAUAAAUACAUUUACUUCUGUUAAGAUAUUUUGGUGGUUUAAGUUAAAGGCACAGUUCACCCAAAAAUUACACUUUGGUCAUUAUCUCCUCCCUCAAUGCUGAUCAAAAGUCAUGUGAAGUUUUGUAUAUUAAGUAGUGUAGGGAUAAUGUAUUUUUAUAAUCCUGCUCUGAGGUUAGCUCGGCUCAUGGUCCCACUGUGGGAUAUUUGACAUGGAUUUUAGAAUCGAUCCGCUGUGAGGAUGUUUCAUGUCCUUGACAACCUCUGUAGUCUCGUUUAGACACUUGUUAGCAACCACUAACUGUUUUUAAC
rnacentral:lncRNA from 1 species